rnacentral:tRNA from 1 species
UCCCAGGUGGCUCAGACGGUAAAAAAUCUGCCUGCAAUGUAGGAGACCCAGGUUUGAUUCCUGGGUUGGGAA